ACAAAUCACUGAUCGGACGUAUACGGACACGACACGAGAGCGUUAAUAUCACGUGUCUGGUGCCAGCUCCUUCCUUUUAAGGCCUGGCAUGGCUGGCCACAUCUAUAGGGGGACGGGACUACCAGAGCGGAGACGCCGGAAGGGCCAAGACGACGCCUAUAAAAAGGGCGGGGCGGAGGCGCGGAGCGGGAGCCUGACCCAUAUCCAAUCCAUCCCUCCGGGCGCGGAGAGGAGGAGGAAGCAGAGCAGCGGGCGCGGCGGACAUGACGCCGAUGCGGCUGGUCGUCCGAGCCUGCACCGCACCCCCCAUCCGCGUACUGGUUAAUUACCUGUAUGAUGGAGGGUGCAGUGGCCAGUACUGGACCCAGUCUUCCAGAGGGUUCGCGUAGUGCUUCAGGAACGACCUGGCCCUGCUGAUCCCGUCCCUUGAGCUCGUGUCAUACCUGACAGGCCUUCCGAUGUCGGUCGAUGCAAACAGCUCCUUGUGCUCUGGCGAGAGCUGGAAGAACUCCGAGGCGGCCUCGAAUGCGCCUGCCAUGACGGAGUUGCUGACGCCGUGGUUCACCACCUGUCAAUCGGCACCACAAGGAUAUGGUAGCGUAUUGAUCAGCAUUGGCACUGAAGCAUCACACCAGAAUCCGAGGUUUGCACAACAUGGAGUUUGUUGACUUGAUCACUGGUGAGUUGCCGCUUAAAGUUCCAUGGUAAGUAAGCUGGUCAGCUUGGGUCACAGCGUGAGCUGCAUGGGUGACUGACACUUGUUUUAAAGGGCACACAGGACACGUGUGUCUUUGUUUUUUUUUCCCCUAGAGAAUACUCAUGGCUGGCUGAGGCUGGCUGGCUGACUGAGUUCACUGUGACUGUCAGCGAACAAGUGUUGGGAGGACACGGACAGAGCAACAGACAAGCAGCACGCACUGACCUGGAAGCAGCCCUGCUCGCGGCACGCUCUGGUAAUGUCCUGGAUGGCGAGCGCCCGCGUGGCCGGGUCCUUCCCGAGCCUGCCAAGGUUGAUGACCGGCAGCUGCCGCGGCGAGGGCGAGGACGAGGACGGCGCCGUCCGCUGCACCUGGCCCGCCAUGGAUGCUGGUAAGAAGCAGACCGGCAUGCCUCGUCGUGAACCUCCAAGCCAGCAAAGCAGUUCCCUAGUCAGUGUAGCUCUGGAGAUGGAGAAGCUCGGUGCAGUGGUGUGCAUGCCACCAGGCGACGGACGUACCUAUUUAUAGGCUCUGCUUUGCUGAAUGUGCAGCGAAAAGGCAGCAGCCGAUGGGGACUGCCAGUGCCCACUGGCCACAGUGGAGUGGACACCCCCUCCCCCCCCUUUUUUUUCUUCUUGUCUCUGCAAGCUGACCCUGGGCAAAUACCUUGUACGUAGACUUUUAGGUGCCACCACCACGACGACGACGACGAGGAUGAUGCAAAAGCGCUGGGAAGGGAAGAUUUCGGUCCAGGAGCAGGCCGCGGGGCCCCCGUCCGUGCGGGCGCGGGCGCGCGCGUGCGUCCAGGUGAACAAGAUCUUUCCCCCAGGAGGCAGAUCGCCCCGGUUCCUUUCGCUUGGCAGUGGUCACCAGCUGUGGAGUGGGCAUAUUUUUCUGUUAUUCUCGCGCCAAGUUGCGCUUGCGCCGUGCGUGUCUCUGCGUGUGUGGCUGACGGCUGAACGCGCCCGCAUCUGGGCUGGGCUCCCAGAUAAUGCUUGUUUUUGCGCCGGGGGUUCCGCUGAAUCCACGGCGACAGCCGACUGGGGAUGGGGAACGGGAGGUUUCCGGUUUCGGCUGCCCGGAGCUGACGACAACGAUGGGCGGGGGGGGGACACCCGUCUACGUGCUGCGAACUGCGAAACUGACUUCUUUUUCGCGUGGCGGACUGGCAGCACCUUUUGUUUUGUUUUUCUGUGGCUUCCAACUGAGGCGAAGUGCAUUUAGAGCUUAUCUGAGAGUAAGAAUUGCAGGAGAUCGGAAGACUAAAAUCUACUUUCUAUUUAAUUUGAAUACGAAGAGGAUUUUAAUCCCCUCAGUCCUUGUUUGGUAGGAAUUGAAAGGCAAUCCCUCAAUAUCAUUUAA